rnacentral:ncRNA from 1 species
UUCGUCGGCGGCAGCGUGAUGCGGCGCCAGCAUCAGAAGGGCCAAAAGGAGCGCCCGGCGGAUCCGGCCGGGCGGGAAAAGAAAGCGCGUCGAUGAAAAGCCGGCUGGCCCAGGAAAGCGCAUGGCGUGAAGUAUGGCCGAUA